rnacentral:rRNA from 1 species
UACGAAGGGGGCUAGCGUUGUUCGGAAUCACUGGGCGUAAAGCGCACGUAGGCGGAUUGUUAAGUCAGAGGUGAAAUCCCGGAGCUCAACUUCGGAACUGCCUUUGAUACUGGCAAUCUCGAGUCCGGAAGAGGUUAGUGGAAUUCCCAGUGUAGAGGUGAAAUUCGUAGAUAUUGGGAAGAACACCAGUGGCGAAGGCGGCUAACUGGUCCGGUACUGACGCUGAGGUGCGAAAGCGUGGGGAGCAAACAGG